UGUAAGCGUAUACCAAAGUUGUUGCAGUUAAAACGCUCGUAGUCGGAACUUGGCCGUGUCGGAUGAGUGCACGUCGUGUGCGCGCAUUGCAGAUAUGGCUUUUGUGGUUUUUGCGUACGACGAGGCACGUUUAUUCGUGAACGUCGUUCCGCAGCCACUCUUUACUGUGAGAAAAUCAAAGUGCUCAAAGCAGGCAUUUGCCGUGAAUGUAUUAGCAUGGAAUAAUAGAAUAGGACUCGGUUCUAUUUUGUUGGUUUGUUGGGGCUGAGUAAUGAUUAAGAGGGACAGUUGGGGGCAUUUGUAUUUCGGCGCUAGAGGUGAAAUUCUUAGAUUGCCGAAAGACAAACUGCUGCGAAAGCGUCUGCCAAGGAUGUUUUCAUUGA
rnacentral:rRNA from 1 species